rnacentral:ncRNA from 1 species
CAGAGUAGGGAAACGCGCGUUAAGUGCCGCCCGGACGGAGAGUUGCCGGGAGGACGAAAAGCAGGUCAAUGAUGAUCCGCUUGCGGUGCGCUUCCCGCAUCUCGCUG